AACGAACGCUGGCGGCAUGCCUAACACAUGCAAGUCGAACGAGACCUUCGGGUCUAGUGGCGCACGGGUGCGUAACGCGUGGGAACCUGCCUUUAGGUUCGGAAUAACUCAGAGAAAUUUGAGCUAAUACCGGAUAAUGUCUUCGGACCAAAGAUUUAUCGCCUUUAGAUGGGCCCGCGUUGGAUUAGCUAGUUGGUGGGGUAAAGGCCUACCAAGGCGACGAUCCAUAGCUGGUCUGAGAGGAUGAUCAGCCACACUGGGACUGAGACACGGCCCAGACUCCUACGGGAGGCAGCAGUGGGGAAUAUUGGACAAUGGGCGAAAGCCUGAUCCAGCAAUGCCGCGUGAGUGAUGAAGGCCUUAGGGUUGUAAGCUCUUUACCCGAGAUGAUAAUGACAGUAUCGGGAGAAUAAGCUCCGGCUAAC
rnacentral:rRNA from 1 species